rnacentral:rRNA from 1 species
UACGUAGGGUGCAAGCGUUAAUCGGAAUUACUGGGCGUAAAGCGUGCGCAGGCGGUUCGUUAAGUCUGAUGUGAAAGCCCCGGGCUCAACCUGGGAACUGCAUUGGAAACUGGCGGGCUUGAGUAUGGCAGAGGGGGGUGGAAUUCCGCGUGUAGCAGUGAAAUGCGUAGAGAUGCGGAGGAACACCGAUGGCGAAGGCAGCCCCCUGGGCCAAUACUGACGCUCAGGCACGAAAGCGUGGGGAGCAAACAGG